rnacentral:miRNA from 13 species
UGCACCGUGUGCGACCUCCUUA